UCCCUUAGAUGUUCUGGGCUGCACGCGCGCUACACUGACGCACGCAACAGGUGCCUGCUCCGAGAGGACUGGGUAAUCAUUUGAGUGUGCGUCGUGAUGGGGAUAGAAUAUUGUAAUUAUUACUCUUCAACGAGGAAUUCCUAGUAAGCGCAAGUCAGCAGCUUGCGCUGAUUACGUCCCUGCCCUUUGUACACACCGCCCGUCGCUCCUACCGAUGGGUGAUCCGGUGAAUGAUUCGGACUUCAGCGGCUCCUCUGGGGUGCGCCGGAGAAAGUUUUGUGAACCUUAUCACUUGGAGGAAGGAGAAGUCGUAACA
rnacentral:rRNA from 1 species